UCUGGUGGAUAUAGUUUCGGGGCAACACCUGUUCCCAUUUCGAAUACAGAAGUAAAGUCCGAAACGUCGAUUGUACUUGGCUGGUAACGGCCUGGGAGAGUAGAUACUGCCAGUU
rnacentral:rRNA from 1 species